GUCGAGUUGCCAGAGUGGUUAAUGGGUAUGACUCGAACGUCCUCGGACAAAUAGAUAUCAUAUGGUUUCGGCCGCGUAGGUUCAAAUCCUGCACUCGACG
rnacentral:tRNA from 1 species